CCUACGGGAGGCAGCAGUAGGGAAUAUUGCUCAAUGGGGGAAACCCUGAAGCAGCAACGCCGCGUGGAGGAUGAAGGUUUUCGGAUUGUAAACUCCUUUUGUUAGGGAAGAUAAUGACGGUAUCUGACGAAGAAGCACCGGCUAACUCCGUGCCAGCAGCCGCGGUAAUACGGAGGGUGCCAGCGUUACUCGGAAUCACUGGGCGUAAAGGGCGCGUAGGCGGGAUAGUAAGUCAGAGGUGAAAUCCUAGGGAGUAACCAUAGAACUGCAGUUGACACUGUUAGUCUUGAGUAUGGGAGAGGUAGGUGGAAUUCUUGGUGUAGCGGUAAAAUCCGUAGAUAUCAAGAGGAAUACUCAUUGCGAAGGCGACCUGCUAGAACAUAACUGACGCUGAGGCGCGAAAGCGUGGGGAGCAAACAGGAUUAGAUACCCUAGUAGUC
rnacentral:rRNA from 1 species